UGUGUGAUGCUUUGUCUGUUGAUCCACCGUCUCGUUGUUGUCAUGGAAAAGGGGAGAAAUUUCCUUUGGCUGCAAUCUUGUUUUACAAUGUUGCAAUUCAUAUGAAUAUUGUGUUUCAUGCUGCCAGAAUCCUUCAAGGACCAAAAGGGAGCAAAUA